UCGGGAAUUUUGGGCAAUGGGCGAAAGCCUGACCCAGCAACGCCGCGUGAAGGAUGAAGUUUCUCGGAAUGUAAACUUCGUAAGAAUGGGAAGAAUAAAUGACGGUACCAUUUGUAAGGUCCGGCUAACUACGUGCCAGCAGCCGCGGUAAUACGUAGGGACCAAGCGUUGUUCGGAUUUACUGGGCGUAAAGGGAGCGUAGGCGGCAAUUCAAGUCAGUUGUGAAAUCUUCGAGCUUAACUCGGAACGGUCAACUGAUACUGCUUUGCUAGAGUACAGAAGGGGCAAUCGGAAUUCUUGGUGUAGCGGUGAAAUGCGUAGAUAUCAAGAGGAACACCUGAGGUGAAGACGGGUUGCUGGGCUGAUACUGACGCUGAGGCUCGAAAGCUAGGGGAGCAAACGG
rnacentral:rRNA from 1 species